GAUGAACGCUGGCGGCGUGCCUAAUACAUGCAAGUAGAACGCUGAAGGAGGAGCUUGCUCUUCUGGAUGAGUUGCGAACGGGUGAGUAACGCGUAGGUAACCUGCCUGGUAGCGGGGGAUAACUAUUGGAAACGAUAGCUAAUACCGCAUAACAGUAGAUAUUGCAUGAUAUCUGCUUGAAAGGUGCAAUUGCAUCACUACCAGAUGGACCUGCGUUGUAUUAGCUAGUUGGUGAGGUAACGGCUCACCAAGGCGACGAUACAUAGCCGACCUGAGAGGGUGAUCGGCCACACUGGGACUGAGACACGGCCCAGACUCCUACGGGAGGCAGCAGUAGGGAAUCUUCGGCAAUGGACGGAAGUCUGACCGAGCAACGCCGCGUGAGUGAAGAAGGUUUUCGGAUCGUAAAGCUCUGUUGUAAGAGAAGAACGAGUGUGAGAGUGGAAAGUUCACACUGUGACGG
rnacentral:rRNA from 1 species